GUGCAGCCAGAAUAAUCGAACACCUCUACUCAUGGGGCCCAGUGUGCACUGGCUACAAAUAACAGCCUCCUAGAAGUGUACAGAGUGGUUGCUUUUUUGAUUUACCCUAAGAGACCCUGGAGAUGGCC
rnacentral:snoRNA from 1 species